rnacentral:misc_RNA from 1 species
CGGGGAUGUUAAGAGGAAGGACAAGCUUGAACCUUAUGCAUAUUGGCCUCUUGACCGGAAGAUGAUGAGCCGUCGACCGGAGCAUCGAGCUGCUGCUCGGAAAGGAAUGGUUAGUGUGGUAAAUAUGACGAAGAAACUUGAAGGCAAAAGUGCCUCUAGUAUUCUGUCAAGUAAAGGCUCCAAGUUUAAGAAGGGUCACAACAAAGGUAGCAAGAAGAAGGCCAAGUAGAAAGAAGAUCAGAUUG